CAUGCAAGUCGAACGGCAGCGCGGGGAGCUUGCUCCCUGGCGGCGAGUGGCGGACGGGUGAGUAACGCGUGGGAAUCUACCCAACGGUGGGGGACAACUCGGGGAAACCCGGGCUAAUACCGCAUACGUCCUACGGGAGAAAGGGGGCCUCUGCUUGCAUGCUCUCGCCGAUGGAUGAGCCCGCGUCCGAUUAGCUUGUUGGUAGGGUAAUGGCCAACCAAGGCGACGAUCGGUAGCUGGUCUGAGAGGACGAUCAGCCACACUGGGACUGAGAAACGGCCCAGACUCCUGCGGGAGGCAGCAGUGGGGAAUAUUGGACAAUGGGCGAAAGCCUGAUCCAGCAAUGCCGCGUGUGUGAAGAAGGCCCUCGUUGGUUGUAAAGCACUUUCAGUGGGGAAGAACAGCCGGGUGCCAAUACCAUCCGGCCUUGACGUUACCUACAGAAGAAGCACCGGCUAACUCUGUGCCAGCAGCCGCGGUAAUACAGAGGGUGCGAGCGUUAAUCGGAAUUACUGGGCGUAAAGGGCGCGUAGGCGGUGCGGUAAGUUGGGUGUGAAAGCCUCGGGCUUAACCUGGGAAUUGCAUUCAAUACUGCCGGACUGGAGUAUGGUAGAGGGAAGUGGAAUUCCGGGUGUAGCGGUGAAAUGCGUAGAUAUCCGGAGGAACACCAGUGGCGAAGGCGGCUUCCUGGACCAAUACUGACG
rnacentral:rRNA from 1 species